rnacentral:rRNA from 1 species
CAGCCGCCGCGGGAAUACGAAGGGUGCAAGCGUUAAUCGGAAUUACUGGGCGUAAAGCGUGCGUAGGCGGUUUGUUAAGUCUGUUGUGAAAUCCCCGGGCUCAACCUGGGAAUGGCGCUUGUGACUGCAAAGCUAGAGUGCGGCAGAGGGGGAUGGAAUUCCGCGUGUAGCAGUGAAAUGCGUAGAUAUGCGGAGGAACACCGAUGGCGAAGGCAAUCCCCUGGGCCUGCACUGACGCUCAUGCACGAAAGCGUGGGGAGCAAACAGGAUUAGAUACCCCUGUAGUCCCUGUCUCUUAUAC